rnacentral:rRNA from 1 species
CAACGGAACAAUUUUUACUUUAGUGGCGGACGGGUGAGUAACGCGUGGGUAACCUGCCUUAUACAGGGGGAUAACACUUAGAAAUAGGUGCUAAGACCGCACAAGCGCCCAGGGCCGCAUGGCCCAGGGUGAAAAACUCCGGUGGUAUAAGAUGGGCCCGCGUCUGUUUAGCCAGUUGGCAGGGUAACGGCCUACCAAAGCGACGAUCAGUAGCCGGCCUGAGAGGGUGGACGGCCACAUUGGGACUGAGACACGGCCCAAACUCCUACGGGAGGCAGCAG